UUGACCUCAAUCGGGUGAGACUACCCGCUGAACUAUAAUCAUAUCA
rnacentral:rRNA from 1 species